rnacentral:rRNA from 1 species
GACGAACGCUGGCGGCGUGCCUAACACAUGCAAGUCGAACGGAAAGGCCCUGCUUUUGUGGGGUGCUCGAGUGGCGAACGGGUGAGUAACACGUGAGUAACCUGCCCUUGACUUUGGGAUAACUUCAGGAAACUGGGGCUAAUACCGGAUAGGAGCUCCUGCUGCAUGGUGGGGGUUGGAAAGUUUCGGCGGUUGGGGAUGGACUCGCGGCUUAUCAGCUUGUUGGUGGGGUAGUGGCUUACCAAGGCUUUGACGGGUAGCCGGCCUGAGAGGGUGACCGGCCACAUUGGGACUGAGAUACGGCCCAGACUCCUACGGGAGGCAGCAGUGGGGAAUAUUGCACAAUGGGCGGAAGCCUGAUGCAGCAACGCCGCGUGCGGGAUGAAGGCCUUCGGGUUGUAAACCGCUUUCGCCUGUGACGAAGCGUGAGUGACGGUAAUGGGUAAAGAAGCACCGGCUAACUACGUG